rnacentral:rRNA from 1 species
UACGUAGGGUGCAAGCGUUGUCCGGAAUUAUUGGGCGUAAAGAGCUCGUAGGCGGUCUGUCGCGUCUGCUGUGAAAACCUAAGGCUCAACCUUGGGCUUGCAGUGGGUACGGGCAGACUAGAGUGCGGUAGGGGUGACUGGAAUUCCUGGUGUAGCGGUGGAAUGCGCAGAUAUCAGGAGGAACACCGAUGGCGAAGGCAGGUCACUGGGCCGCAACUGACGCUGGAGGAGCGAAAGCCAUGGGGAGCGAACAGG